rnacentral:misc_RNA from 1 species
GAUGAAGAACGCAGCGAAAUGCGAUAAGUAAUGUGAAUUGCAGAAUUCAGUGAAUCAUCGAAUCUUUGAACGCACAUUGCGCCCGCCAGUAUUCUGGCGGGCAUGCCUGUUCGAGCGUCAUUACAACCCUCAGGCCCCCGGGCCUGGCGUUGGGGAUCGGCGGAGCCCCCCGUGGGCACACGCCGUCCCCCAAAUGCAGUGGCGGUCCCGCCGCAGCUUCCAUCGCGUAGUAGCUAACACCUCGCGACUGGAGAGCGGCGCGGCCACGCCGUAAAACACCCAACUCUUCUGAAGUUGACCUCGAAUCAGGCAGGAAUACCCGCUGAACUUAAGCAUAUCAAUAAGCGGAGGA